GACGAACGCUGGCGGCGUGCUUUCUCUUUGCAAGUCGAACGAUGAAGUUCCUUCGGGAAUGGAUUAGUGGCGAACGGGUGAGGAACACGUGAGGAAUCUGCCCAUCAUUUUGGGAUAACACCGGGAAACCGGUGCUAAUACCGAAUACUCCGUCUUGGCGGCAUCGCUAAGCCGGGAAAGAAUUUCGAUGAUGGAUGAUCUCGCGGCCUAUCAGCUAGUUGGUGAGGUAACGGCUCACCAAGGCAACGACGGGUAGCCGGCCUGAGAGGGCGACCGGCCACACUGGGACUGAGACACGGCCCAAACUCCUACGGGAGGCAGCAGUAGGGAAUAUUGGGCAAUGGGCGCAAGCCUGACCCAGCGACGCCGCGUGAGGGAUGAAGGUCUUCGGAUUGUAAACCUCUUUCAGUAGGGAAGAAGCGAAAGUGACGGUACCUAAAGAAGAAGCACCGGCUAACUAUGUG
rnacentral:rRNA from 1 species